rnacentral:rRNA from 1 species
UACGUAGGGGGCGAGCGUUGUCCGGAUUCAUUGGGCGUAAAGAGCUCGUAGGCGGUUUGUCGCGUCGGGAGUGAAAACCAUGGGCUUAACUCAUGGCUUGCUUUCGAUACGGGCAGACUAGAGGUAUGCAGGGGAGAACGGAAUUCCUGGUGUAGCGGUGAAAUGCGCAGAUAUCAGGAGGAACACCGGUGGCGAAGGCGGUUCUCUGGGCAUGACCUGACGCUGAGGUGCGAAAGCGUGGGGAGCAAACAGG